rnacentral:lncRNA from 12 species
AUCCCGAGGGUUUGCGCCCCGAACGCUCACUAAGCAGAACUAGGCCGACGCAAAGUCAUUUUGAAAUAGGUGGCAGAGACGGAAAAUACAGAAUGAUGAAAUGAUGGCAGAGCUCGUGUGUCAUUCGCCAAUAAUUAAAAUGAAAUGUAGACACGUUUCCAGUUCAGUCACAAGCCAUUGAAACCGUCGCGUCUAGAACAUUUCAACUGGCGAGCGUCAUCCUCAGACACUGGCAGAGCGUCCUUAACCCUCAAGUAGGGACUAGUUUUGCAAAAGUCUUUAAAGGGAAAUCAGGAGGAGCCACGUGUGCGUCCCGAGGCCGAGUUUGGCCGAUGCACGGGAGACAGAGCCCGCGGGGAGCAGCUCGGACGGUCUGCGAGGCCGCAAGCGCGGCUCCCCGGGGCGAUGUCGGGCGUUGGGCGCGCGCUGACUCGGCGGCUGGACCCUGUCCGGAGCCCCCGUGUGUCGAAAGGGUUCUGGACAGAAGAAGACAGCUGAAGUGGGCUGUAAGCAGGAAGAGACCCCCCUCUGAACGACAUCCAUCUCAUUUGCAACAGAAUAUGAGGCAAAGGCCAAGAGCUGCUGAUCUGUCUGCACUGUUUGGAAGAGCCCCUGAGCUGCUGCUUUGUAGAGCUGAAAGGAAGUGCUGCCUGGCCCUUCAGAGCUCCCUGCAGGCUCUGGGCUGCUUGUCAGUGACCUGCAGCCUGCUCCAGCUCCACUGA